UACGUAGGUUCCGAGCGUUGUCCGGAUUUAUUGGGCGUAAAGCGAGCGCAGGCGGUUAGAUAAGUCUGAAGUUAAAGGCUGUGGCUUAACCAUAGUACGCUUUGGAAACUGUUUAACUUGAGUGCAAGAGGGGAGAGUGGAAUUCCAUGUGUAGCGGUGAAAUGCGUAGAUAUAUGGAGGAACACCGGUGGCGAAAGCGGCUCUCUGGCUUGUAACUGACGCUGAGGCUCGAAAGCGUGGGGAGCAAACAGGAUUAGAUACC
rnacentral:rRNA from 1 species